rnacentral:SRP_RNA from 1 species
GCCAGGUGCAGUGGUGCAUGCCUGUAGUCCCAGCUACUCGGGAGGCUAAGGCUGGAGGAUCUCUUGAGUCCAGGAGUUCUGGGCUGUAGUGCGCUAUGCCGAUCGGGUGUCCGCACUAAGUCUGGCAUCAAUAUGGUGACCUCCCGGGACCGGGGGACCACCAGGCUGCCUAAGGAGGAAUGAACCGGCCCAGGUUGGAAACGAAGCAGGUCAAAACUCCUAUGCUGAUCAGCAGUGGGAUUUCGCCUGUGAAUAGCCAUUGCACCCCAGCCUGGGCAACAUAGCAAUACCCCGUCUCU